rnacentral:rRNA from 1 species
CCUACGGGAGGCUGCAGUGAGGAAUAUUGGUCAAUGGCCGAGAGGCUGAACCAGCCAAGUAGCGUGAAGGAUGACGGCCCUACGGGUUGUAAACUUCUUUUGUCAGGGAAUAAAGCGCGGGACGUGUCCCGCUUUGCGUGUACUUUGUGAAUAAGCAUCGGCUAACUCCGUGCCAGCAGCCGCGGUAAUACGGAGGAUCCGAGCGUUAUCCGGAUUUAUUGGGUUUAAAGGGAGCGGAGGUGGGUUGUUAAGUCAGCUGUGAAAUUUUGCGGCUCAACCGUUUAAUCGCGAUUGAUACUGGCAGUCUUGAGUAGACUAGAGGUAAGCGGAAUGCGUGGUGUAGCGGUGAAAUGCAUAGAUAUCACGAAGAACUCCGAUUGCGAAGGCAGCUUACUAACGUGCAACUGACAUUGAUGCACGAAAGUGUGGGUAUCAAACAGGAUUAGAUACCCUAGUAGUC